rnacentral:rRNA from 1 species
AAUGAACGCUGGCGGCGUGCCUAAUACAUGCAAGUCGAGCGAAGCGGGGACGGGGAAGUAACACGUGGAUAAACUCCUAUAAGGCUGGGAUAACUUAGGGAAACCGGAGCUAUACGGGAGACUGAUAGAUGUAACCGCGAUGAAUUAGCUAGUUGGUAAGGUAACGGCUUACCAAGGCAACGAUGCAUAGCCGACCUGAGAGGGUGAUCGGCCACACUGGAACUGAGACACGGUCCAGACUCCUACGGGAGGCAGCAGGAGGGAAUCUUCCGCAAUGGGCGAGAGCCUGACGGAGCAACGCCGCGUGAGUGAUGAAGGUCUUCGGAUCGGAAAACUCUGUUAUUAGGGAAGCGGUACCUAAUCAGUAAGCCACGGCUAACUACGUGCCAGCAGCCGCGGUAAUUC